rnacentral:rRNA from 1 species
UACGUAGGGGGCAAGCGUUGUCCGGAAUCAUUGGGCGUAAAGCGCGCGUAGGUGGCCAUUUAAGUCCGCUGUGAAAGUCAGAGGCUCAACCUUUGAAAGCCGGUGGAUACUGGAUGGCUAGAGUACGGAAGAGGCGAGUGGAAUUCCUGGUGUAGCGGUGGAAUGCGCAGAUAUCAGGAGGAACACCAAUAGCGAAGGCAGCUCGCUGGGACGUACUGACACUAAGGCGCGAAAGCGUGGGGAGCGAACAGG